rnacentral:rRNA from 1 species
UACAUGGGGUGCAACCGUUGCUCGGAAUUAUUGGGCGUAAAGCGCACGUAGGCGGUUCGUUAAGUCGGAUGUGAAAGCCCUCGGCUCAACUGAGGAAGUGCACCCGAAACUGGCGAGCUUGAGUACGAAAGAGGAUCGCGGAAUUCCCGGUGUAGAGGUGAAAUUCGUAGAUAUCGGGAGGAACACCGGCGGCGAAGGCGGCCCCCUGGGCUAGCACUGACGCUCAGGCACGAAAGCGUGGGGAGCAAACAGG